rnacentral:rRNA from 1 species
CCUACGGGCGGCUGCAGUGGGGAAUCUUGGGCAAUGCGCGAAAGCGUGACCCAGCAAUGCCGCGUGUGUGAUGAAGGUCUUCGGAUUGUAAAACACUGUCUCCCGUGACGAUAAUGACGGUAGCGGGGAAGGAAGCCACGGCUAACUACGUGCCAGCAGCCGCGGUAAUACGUAGGUGGCGAGCGUUGUUCGGAUUUAUUGGGCGUAAAGGGUCUGUAGGAGGUUUGUUAAAUUCGGGGUGAAAUCCCAAAGCUCAACUUUGGAACUGCCUUGGAGACUGAUGAACUAGAGUACUGGAGAGGUAAGCGGAAUACCAGGUGUAGCGGUGGAAUGCGUAGAUAUCUGGUAGAACACCAAGAGCGAAGGCAGCUUACUGGACAGUUACUGACUCUGAGAGACGAAAGCGUGGGGAGCAAACAGGAUUAGAUACCCCAGUAGUC